rnacentral:rRNA from 1 species
CCUACGGGUGGCAGCAGUAGGGAAUUUUGCGCAAUGGGGGAAACUCUGACGCAGCAACGCCGCGUGAUCGAUGAAGCCCUUCGGGGUGUAAAGAUCUGUUAGUGGGGACGAAAACUGACGGUACCCACAGAGGAAACACCGGCUAACCCCGUGCCAGCAGCCGCGGUAAUACGGGGGUGCAAGCGUUGUUCGGAAUCAUUGGGCGUAAAGAGUUCGUAGGUGGCACGUUAAGUCUGGUGUUAAAGGCGGAGGCUCAACUUCCGUAGGGCACUGGAUACUGGCGUGCUUGAGUGCGGUAGAGGUAAGGGGAAUUCCUGGUGUAGCGGUGAAAUGCGUAGAUAUCAGGAGGAACAUCGGUGGCGAAGGCGCUUUACUGGAACAUAAUUGACGCUGAGGAGCGAAAGCCGGGGUAGCAAAUGGGAUUAGAUACCCUUGUAGUC